rnacentral:rRNA from 1 species
UGGGCAACCUGCCCUGUACUGUGGAAUAAUCAUUGGAAACGAUGACUAAUACCGCAUGUGGUCCUCGGAAGGCAUCUUCUGAGGAAGAAAGGAUUAUUCGGUACAGGAUGGGCCCGCAUCUGAUUAGCUAGUUGGUGAGAUAACAGCCCACCAAGGCGACGAUCAGUAGCCGACCUGAGAGGGUGAUCGGCCACAUUGGGACUGAGACACGGCCCAA